UUGAUAGAGAGACGAGGUUUCACCAUGUUGGUCAAGCUGGUCUCAAACUGCUGACCUCAACUGAUCUGCCUACCUCGGCCUCCCAAAGUGCUAGGAUUACAGGCAUAAGCCACGGUGUCUGACCUGUCAUUAUUUUAAAGGAAGUAAUUUCCUUGUCAGUUUGGGCAAUGUAUAUAUUUUUGUUGCUUAUCUUUACUUUUCUUUUUUCAAGGUGGAUUUCUUCAGUAAAUGGCAAUUGAUUGGUAAGAGGUGUCAUCACGAGGUGGAAGGAGCACUGUGUAAGAAGGAAAUUGAGAUGUUAGUUCUGAUCACCUCCUUUUCCCUUCCUGCCUCUGUCCCCAUUGCACACGUAAGCCUGUGCAUUGCACUUUGCAACCUUAAAUAAGUUGCUUCCUCUGCAUGUUUCAGUUGCCUCAAUUAAUAAAUAAGAAUAAUAAUAUUUCAUUGGCUCAAGGACAGGAACUAUACAGAUAAUUUCUUGAGCUUCCUUCUAUCUUAAAAAAUAGAAUUCUGUGAUUAUGACCAUUCCUUUUUGCCGCAUAUGUGCAAGGGAUGCCAAGCUCAGAGGACUGGUUCCUGCCCUCGAAGAGGCUACAGCUUGGUCUGGGGAAACCGGAACUUACAAUUCAACACAAAAGUGCUGUAGAGAAGGCACAUGAGAUGUGUCCAGGGCAUAUAAAGUAUAAAUACCUACGUCAGUCCAGGGGAAAUUAGGGAACUUCCUCAGGGGAAGUAACAUUUGAGCUGAGCCUUGAAGGAGUUUCUAUGCCAACAACGAGAAUGGGGGUUUCGGGCUGGGAGAACAGCACAUGUUUUAAAAAGGAGACAUGUUUUGAGAAAGAACUAAAAGUAAGUCCGUAUUUCUGGGAUUUAAAGAAGAAAGUAUGGAGCAGUAAAAAUUAGGGGCUGGACAGAUGGUCAGGUAUUACUCAAUCUAAAUGACAAUCAGACACUCACUGGUUGAAGGACAGUAUGCCAGAUGCUGGGUUGACUGAAACUAGGAAUUACUGAUCCUGGAGAAAGGUCUGGGAAGGCUUCAAACUAGAGAUAGAACAGGGAUAAAAGUGAUAGCUGGAAUUUAGGAAA
rnacentral:lncRNA from 1 species